UUUGGGAUGGACAUGUAUGUAUUUAUAUUAAAUAUAUUUUAAAAUUUAGAGAUCUGAAUUAACUUUUUUUUCACUUUUGCAAGAGCAUUUCUUUCUUCGAUGUCGACGGCGAGGUGCUUUUUCACUUUUGCAGGAGCAUUCCUUUCUUCGAUGCUUUUGAGGUGACAGAGGUUUCCACCCAUGUUUUACUAAGUUUUAUUGGUUUCAUCUUGAUCGUUUCGAAUUUGAUCAGAUCGUGUGGCAGCCAUAUACUCCUCUGGUCCUAGCUGGUCUACCAGAUUAUUAUUUUAGUAGACAGCAUAUAUGGCAAUGCCAAGUGACACUUCUAUGCUUUUUUAUCGUUGAGUGGCACUAUCCGGAUAGAGUGAUGCACCAGUUCAGACUACGCCAGACUAUUUUGGAGGUUUGUGAUACAGAUUCCAGACUUCAUCAUAUCGACCUUCGAGGGCGCACAGAUCAUGACUGGAGAAGAAUUCAUCAGCACUGGGUUGCACUCUGGGAGAGUCGGUAGGAUUAUAUUAUAAACGAUCCAGCGGCCGACGGUAUGAUGGAUUAUUAUGAUGAUUACAUGGAGUGAUAUCGUCGCAUCACGCAUCGAUUCAUUUGUCAUGGAGGAGCGAUGUUUGACUAUCUGAUAAGAGUGACAGUUUGGUGAGGAUUCAUCAUUUGGCUCGUCCGAACUCGUUAGCCACAUUCGGACAGCUCAUUCAGAAUAUUUGUGCUUCAGGACUCCACGUCGUUUGACAGCACACUCGUAUCUCCAUCGAUAUCCAUGAUCAUGGUCAUGGCAGUGUAGGGUCCACUCCUUCACCUUUCAU